rnacentral:tRNA from 1 species
UUAAAUAUAGUUUAACUAAAACAUUAUAUUUUCAUUAUAAAAAUAAUUUACUUAAAUUUAUUUAAA